AUAAAAAAUGUUUAGAAAGUACACAUUUCUACAUUUGGCCUAAUCAGCUGUUCUGGAGUAAUGACGUCACAUGUGUCAUCCACGAACUUACAUGAAUUAAAAUGGCAGUUCAUACUAAUGGAUGGUGUUUGUUAACUUGAAUUUGGAAGACAAGAUUACAAUUGAAUUUGAUUCUUUUUUAUUAUUCACACAGUGUAUAUUCAACAGGGUAAGACCGGACAUGCGGUCCGUUCCCAUGGUGCUACGGAGGUAUGUCUUCACCCGUCUCAUUGUAGAAAAAGACCUCUCCGCUGUUGCUGUCGAUACUUCCAUGCAGAGCAGAACGAGAAGACAACUUCGAGCAUUGGGUAGGAGUUUUCCGUCGCGGACGUAAGCGCCGACUCGAGGGUUUUGAAUGGCUCAGGAGAUGAAAUCUGCCACUUCGUCUUCCACCUUCUACACUCCCUGGAAAUUUAACAUCGUCAACCUCAAGUAGCCGUGAGUCUUCAUUCAUGUAGCAGAUGAUCCAUGAAGGGAAGGUACAUGUUCGUCUUCCAGUAUUGGGAUGGCGUAGCUCCUGGGGCAUUGGGAAUGUGACGAUGGCGACCGGCGUGUCUAGGCAUGGAUGGGUCGGUACCAAACUCAUCGGCAAGCGCUUCAAAUUUUUCAUAAAUUGCAUCCCUCACCAUCUCAUCUGCUCGUUCAGCCUAUAAAACACCCGCUUAUAUUGAUACAUAUUCAAAAGAUACACAUUCUUGCCACCAACAAGAUAUAUAUAAAAGCUAUGUAUGUUUAUAUGUUUCAGUGACAAUUCAACACAGUUUUUGAGGAUAAAGCUCUGAAUUUGAUUCUGUAUACAUAACUGCCAAGUCUGUAAAUGCACAAGUUCAGAGAUAUAAUCAUGCAUUAAAUGUAUAGGCGGGUUCGGGCGGGGGCGGACCGGUGUACAAAAAAGGCGAUUUUGAAUAUAG